rnacentral:rRNA from 1 species
CUGCUGCCUUCCGUAGGAGUUUGGACCGUGUCUCAGUUCCAAUGUGGGAGACCUUCCUCUCAGAACCCCUAUCCAUCGAUGCCUUGGUGGGCCGUUACCCCGCCAACAAGCUAAUGGAACGCAUCCCCAUCGAUGACCGAAAUUCUUUAAUAGUUCUACCAUGCGGAAGAACUAUGCCAUCGGGUAUUAAUCUUUCUUUCGAAAGGCUAUCCCCGAGUCAUCGGCAGGCUGGAUACGUGUUACUCACCCGUGCGCCGGUCG